GUUGUAUGGUUAAGUGACUAAGCGUACACGGUGGAUGCCUUGGCAGUCAGAGGCGAUGAAGGACGUAUUAACUUGCGAUAAGCCCAGAUUAGACAGUAAAAGUCAUUUGAGUCUGGGAUUUCCGAAUGGGGAAACCCACUUACAUAAGUAAGUAUCUUGUUGUGAAUACAUAGCAACAAGAGGCAAACCGGGGGAACUGAAACAUCUAAGUACCCCGAGGAAGAGAAAUCAACCGAGAUUCCG
rnacentral:rRNA from 1 species